GAUCCCGAUGGGAACGGGUAAAUCUUGCUAAACAACUACGAGCGCGCAAGAGAACCGGGCAGAUGGACGCGAGAAAUGCCCAAAGUCAGCAUCUUCAUGACAUCACUAAUAUUGAUCAACUCUCCAAAGGGAGUCCAGGGAUUGUUCAACAAGAUCAUGGCCCACAUAGAUCAAAUGGCCUAUUCAUACAUGAAGCAACAAUCCCUUCUACCACCAACAUGACACCCUUAAAUGAUGCCAGCAUUUGUACCCUGAGCAAUCUCACAGAUUCUUCGAGGGGUAAAUGAGGUUCAGCAUUAUUAAUCAUUUUUCCCUAACAUACUUUAGUAAAUUUAUGGUGCAUGAUCUGCUUCUGGAUUUAAGUAAUUUAAUUAUUUUGGACAUUUGCAUUUGUAAACAAUUAUAUUCUCUACAAUGCCUGAUGAUAUGAUUUGCA